AGAACUUGAAUCAAAACCCACUGAAGUCAAUGGGAGUUCUUCAUUGACUUCAGUGGGCUUUGGAUCAGGCCC
rnacentral:miRNA from 1 species